GAUGAACGCUGGCGGUAUGCUUAACACAUGCAAGUCGAACGGACUCUUCGGAGUUAGUGGCGGACGGGUGAGUAACGCGUGAGAAUCUGGCUUUGGGUUCGGGACAACCACUGGAAACGGUGGCUAAUACCGGAUGUGCCGAGAGGUAAAAGAGAAAUUGCCUGAAGAUGAGCUCGCGUCUGAUUAGCUAGUUGGUGAGGUAAAGGCUCACCAAGGCAGCGAUCAGUAGCUGGUCUGAGAGGAUGACCAGCCACACUGGGACUGAGACACGGCCCAGACUCCUACGGGAGGCAGCAGGGGGGAAUUUUCCGCAAUGGGCGAAAGCCUGACGGAGCAAUACCGCGUGAGGGAAGAAGGCUCUUGGGUUGUAAACCUCUUUUCUUAGGGAAGAACAAAAUGACGGUACCUAGGGAAUCAGCAGCGGCUAACUCCGUG
rnacentral:rRNA from 1 species